CACGUAGGGGGCGAGCGUUGUCCGGAUUUAUUGGGCGUAAAGAGCUCGUAGGUGGCUCGGUAAGUCGGGUGUGAAAUUUCGAGGCUCAACCUCGAAACGCCACCUGAUACUGCCGUGGCUUGAGUCCGGUAGGGGAGCGUGGAAUUCCUGGUGUAGCGGUGAAAUGCGCAGAUAUCAGGAGGAACACCAAUGGCGAAGGCAGCACUCGUGGGACGUGACUGACGCUGAGGAGACGAAAGUGUGGGGGAGCGAACAGG
rnacentral:rRNA from 1 species